GACGAACGCUGGCGGCGUGCCUAAUACAUGCAAGUCGAACGCACUCUCGUUUAGAUUGAAGGAGCUUGCUCCUGAUUGAUAAACAUUUGAGUGAGUGGCGGACGGAUGAGUAACACGUGGGUAACCUGCCCUAAAGUGGGGGAUAACAUUUGGAAACAGAUGCUAAUACCGCAUAAAAACCUAACACCGCAUGGUGUAGGGUUGAAAGAUGGUUUCGGCUAUCACUUUAGGAUGGACCCGCGGUGCAUUAGUUAGUUGGUGAGGUAAAGGCUCACCAAGACCGUGAUGCAUAGCCGACCUGAGGGGGUAAUCGGCCACACUGGGACUGAGACACGGCCCAGACUCCUACGGGAGGCAGCAGUAGGGAAUCUUCCACAAUGGACGAAAGUCUGAUGGAGCAACGCCGCGUGAGUGAAGAAGGUUUUCGGAUCGUAAAAACUCUGUUGUUUGGAGAAGAAAUGUAUCUGAUAGUAACUGAUCAGGUAGUGACGGUAUCCAACCAGAAAGCCACGG
rnacentral:rRNA from 1 species